UACGUAGGGCGCAAGCGUUUGUCCGGAAUUAUUGGGCGUAAAGAGCUCGUAGGCGGUCUGUCGCGUCUGCCGUGAAAACCCGAGGCUUAACCUCGGGCUGGCGGUGGAUACGGGCAGACUAGAGGUAGGUAGGGGAGAAUGGAAUUCCCGGUGUAGCGGUGAAAUGCGCAGAUAUCAGGAGGAACACCAAUGGCGAAGGCAGCUCGCUGGGACGGUACUGACGCUGAGACGCGAAAGCGUGGGGAGCGAACAGG
rnacentral:rRNA from 1 species